rfam:Myotis brandtii contig178698, whole genome shotgun sequence.
GGCGGUUCUUGGGUGACAAGCCCCGGAACCGGGCUCCCUCCUCUCUGGUUCUGGGUGCAUCACUCAAGACUGCA